rnacentral:pre_miRNA from 1 species
UCUUGCCCUGUCAUUAAAACAGCGUCCUGUUUGUCCUAUAUAAACUUUACGGGAAAGUUUAUAUAGGACAAACAGGACGCUGUUUUAAUGACAGGGCAAGA